ensembl:snRNA U6 U6 spliceosomal RNA
UUGCUACGGCUGCACGUAUACUAAAAUUGGGUCGAUACAGAGAAGAUUAGCAUGGCCCCUGCAAAAGGAUGACACGCAAAUCUGUGAAGCGUUCCAUAUUUUA